rnacentral:sRNA from 1 species
ACGUCGAUAUCAGGCUUAUUGGUUU